rnacentral:rRNA from 1 species
UUGAGAGUUUGAUCCUGGCUCAGAACGAACGCUGGCGGCAAGCUUAACACAUGCAAGUCGAACGAAUUAUUCUCAUAGCUUGCUAUGAGAAUAAUUAGUGGCAGACGGGUGAGUAAUGCAUAGGAAUCUACCUAGUAGUAUAGGAUAGCCACUAGAAGUGGUGGGUAAUACUGUAUAAUCCCUGCGGGGGAAAGAUUUAUCGCUACAUGAUGAGCCUAUGUUAGAUUAGCUAGUUGGUAGGGUAAAGGCCUACCAAGGCAGUGAUCUAUAGCUGGUCUGAGAGGAUGAUCAGCCACACUGGAACUGAGACACGGUCCAGACUCCUACGGGAGGCAGCAGUGGGGAAUAUUGGACAAUGGGCGCAAGCCUGAUCCAGCUAUGCCGCGUGAGUGAGGAAGGCCUUAGGGUUGUAAAGCUCUUUCAGUAGGGAAGAUAUGGACGGUAC